CAAAAAUCCGAAGCUAGUGUUUUAUUAAACACGCGUUACUAUAUUACAAAUUUAGAAUUCCCAACACUGAGGGAUCUCCUUGUAUAUCCACCAAAUCUUCUAUUCCUACUUCUUUAUACCUAUCUGCCAACACCCCAUAGAAAUUGGGAAAGAAAGGGAAAUAAAAGAAAAAGGAUAUGAAAUGUGUGGGGCUGUGCAAAAUCUGCAACAGCCUCCAACUCCCUCCAAUCCCCUUUUCCCUACACCCUACCACCUAUUCCUUAGCACACUUAUUCCCCCAAUCCCCUUCACUCUACCUCUUGUAUCUAUUCUCUAGCACACUCAAAUGUGCAGGCAACAUUCCUCAUUUUGGCCUCAAACUUCAUCCAGCAAAUCACUUUCAUUAUCUUCCAUUCCACACAUAGAAUCCACCGAAGGGUAAGCUGCAUUCACUGUUCUGCCAAAACUCAAGGGGUAAGCUUCGCUUUAACUCUUUUCCUUUCAGUCAUUAGUUUCACCUGCAUUAACACAAAGAGCAACAACCUUGAAUAUUUCAGAUUCUCCCAAUCCAUUUAAUCCAACAACACCAGACAGCCAACAAAGCAAACACUCAAGGUAUUAUUCCUAUUUCAUACUCAAUUUAGCCGCACUCAUAACCGGUACAUGGUCAGUUAAGAAACACCAUAAAUAGGAGAAUAAGCAUGAUAGACAAACAAUACCAAUGUAUAGUAUGAGGAUGUACAUAAGUCAGUUUACUUCCAUCAAGAACCAACAACAGCCUAUGACCUUUAUACGAGCUAAAUGCAGUAAGGAUUUCCUUGAUACAACAGCAAGUUCAGUGCUUAGUGCAAUUUAUUGCAUAAUCCUUAUAUGAAAACCAAGACUUCACUGUAGAACUAUAGAUUGACUUAGCUUUUAGAGAGGGCGGGGGCUACUGCCCUGUUUGUUUGGGCCGAAGGACGUGAGUGGGCGGCAACUCGCGGGGACAGCAGCGUCGGCGGCGUCGAGCUGUGAAAGGCAGACAACUCCCGACCUCGGCGAUGGCCCUCGCCGAUUCUGGAUUGCAGCAGCAGCGGAGUACCCUUCGCCCGAAUCCAGCAGCAGCGUGGCGAGGCUCGAACCGUCGACCCCGGGGAAAACGGCAACGGCGGAGCUUUCCCUACUCGCUGGAGAAACGCAACGGCUGCGGCGAGAUUGAGAGUGCGCCGAGAAUAACUAGGGCUCGACCUCUGCCUCGGCUGUGUGUGUGCGUGUUUCCGGAGCUUCCAGAGGAGAAUUAGGGCUCAAAUUUUAGUGGCCUCCCCUAAAUCUGCGAGACAGCAGCAGAAGCUUGUGCCGGCGACGCGAAGGCGCCGGAUCUCAAGGGGUGGCGGCGGCGAUUUUGGAUUUUGGGAAAUUAGGGCUCCUCAUUUGGGGAUCCCCCAUUAAAUUGAGGAAGGAGGGAGGACGAACGAAGACGGCGGCCUCAGAGACGCAGACGACGGCCGUUCGCCGGACACCCAGUUGCAGCGGCGACGACGACCUUCAAUUUGUGAGUUAGGGCUCGAUUAAGACCUUCAAUUCGUGAGUUAGGGCUGACGAUAUGAAUUGAGGAAGAAACGAGACGAAGGGAGGAGGCUCGGCUGGCCGUCGUCCUCGCCGGAGCAGUUCGCGGCGGAGCUCGCGAAGAGAAAGGACGGGCGAGAGAGAGAGAGAGAGGUCUUGAGCGGCGUCUGAAUUUGAAGAGAGUGAGAGAGAACCGAUUGUAGAGGGGGAGGAUUUGGGCCUCCUCAUUUAUUUUAUUUGGGCCGAAUUCCUUUAAUUAUUGGGCCUCUACAUCUUAUUUAAUUUAGCCCAGAUUAAUUUUCAUUUUAUAUCUUGGGCUGGUUAUUUUAUUGUGGGCUGGAGUUUCUAUUUUUUUUAUGAGCCUUAUAUGAUUUAUUUAAUUGAGCCCAACGAGUUAUUUAUUUGUUUGGGCUCUUCCUAAAUAUUGGAGUCGGGCCUUGUAUUAUUUUUCUAUCGGGCCGCUUCUUAUUAAUUAAUGGAGCCCAAUUAUUUAUUCGAUUGGACUACUUAACUAACUAAACCUGGAUAGUCAAUUCAAUCACUUGGGCCAUUAUAUAUUUUUCCUUUGGGCCUUCCCCUUGUUUUUGUAAUUGGGCUAAGUUUAAAUUAUUUUACUUUAGGCCCAACAUUAAUUAUUUCAGUUGGACUGCUAUUAUCUUAUUUGGACCCAGAUUUAUUUAAUUAUUUGAGCCCAAUAAUCUCAUCUCAGUUGGGCCUUGUAAUAAUUAUUCAGCCCAAAUUUUAUUAUUUUACUUGGGCUCCAGAUUUAUAUAUAUAUAUAUAUGAAUUGUAAUUAUUUAUUUUAAUUCAAACCCACUCUUAAUUAAUUAUUAGGCUGUAUUAUGUUGAGCCUUUUAAUUAUUUGACUUAUAUUAUUAUUACUUCGAUUCAUGUUUGUUUAGCCGAGUUAAUUAGACGCAGCUGCCCAAUUACGAUUAAUUCUUACGAGAUUGCUAAGCGAAUGAGCCGACUUAGCUAUUUUCUUUUAAUCGAUUAAAUAGAGCGAGAUUUUUUUUACCAUGUAAGUUAGAACACCCUAAGACGAACGGGUUAGUCAUAAUUAUUUAUCCGAUCGUACGAGACGAGCUUCAGUUAGUUAUCUUGCUUAAUCAAUCCGAUAGUUGGGAAUUAAUAAUAGAAUUAUCAAGAAUAAUAAAUCAUGCAUAAGAGAGUCAUGCAUAUUUAAUUUCGUAUUCUCAUUAUUUGAGAAUUCUGCUCGAGCAAAUAUCUUAUUUAAAUUCUCGCAAUAAAGGUCAAGCGCG
rnacentral:lncRNA from 1 species